rnacentral:rRNA from 1 species
AGAUUGAACGCUGGCGGCAUGCCUUACACAUGCAAGUCGAACGGCAGCACGGGGGCAACCCUGGUGGCGAGUGGCGAACGGGUGAGUAACAUAUCGGAACGUGCCCUGGAGUGGGGGAUAACUAGUCGAAAGAUUAGCUAAUACCGCAUACGAUCUACGGAUGAAAGUGGGGGAUCGCAAGACCUCAUGCUCGUGGAGCGG